ACCUGGGUGGCUCAGUCGGUUGAGCGUCUGACUCAGGUCAUGAUCUCAGGGGUCGUGGGAUCAAGCCCCACAUCGGGCU
rnacentral:tRNA from 1 species